GACGGUGGUUUCUUUUCAGCUCCAGCUGAUGUCUGUCACGUGGUACAAAGAGCCCAUUGUGGCCAGAGCUCCUGGAUUCACAAAAGAAACUGGAAACCCAGAUUCUUAUGAAAAAUUCCCUUACACAGGCAUUCCCUCGGAGAUACUGUGGGUUUGGUACCAGACUACUGCAAUAAAGCAGACGCCUGUGACUCAACAUGGAGAAAAGCCUACUGUUGAGCCCACGAGCCCAGACGUGGUUACCUUUUUGCGCGGCCGAAGCUUGUCCCGCCAUUCCUUCAGGUUCUGAUUAUGGCUCUCAUCUAGGGCCUUCAGCUUCUGGGUUUCAUGUUCUACCAGGAGGUGACACUUUUCAUUCUGGAACAAAUUCCAGGCAGAACAGGAGAGAUUUGUGUAAAGAUGAGGACAUGGACCUGACAGAGACACUCCCAACUUUAUUAUUCUCUGAGGUUUUUGGCGCCCCCGCUUAAGUUUUGUGCUCCAGCUCCAGCCCAGCCCCUGCAGCUGCCUGAGGCCCCUUGGAUACAAAUGUCACCCCCAUAGACUGCAGUCUGGGAGCUGGGCUCUGAAGCCUGCAGCACCACGGACCACCCUUAAAAGCUGUUUGUCUGAAGACUGGGAAUGGCCUAGUAAGUAUGUCCCAGGCUCCACAGAGGGAGGUGUGAGCUGUUAUUUGGGACCCAGAUGCCCUUCCCCAGGGCAGGCUAGGAGACUCACCUCCCUCCCCUUGUCUCAGGACCAUCUACCUCUUUGUCACCUACCCCACCCCCCCCCACCUCUUCCAACUGGGAGAGGAAAGAGAAGAGCCACAUGGGUCCCAACUAGGGGACUGUUGUUUUGGGAGAAGAGAGGGCAGGGCACAGAAGACGUAUUGUGUUUGCCACCCGGCACCUGUUCCCCUGCUCUGGUGAAAGCAUCUCAGAUCCCCCUGGGCUGCCAGCCCUUCCUCCUCCCCUACUCUCUUUCAGCUGGGGUUGCUGAGCUGGGACGACAUACAGAAGCUGCCUGCGAGCCAAGUCAACACAGGAAAGGAGAGCCCAAAUGACAGAGAAGUAGCUCCUCAUGACGCAGCUGGAGCACGUGAAUCCCGACACGUGGAUGUGAGCUUUUCAGAUACAUGAGCUCCCCAGAGUCUCCUCUGUUGCUGAAGCGGGACUGAGCUGGGGUUUCGAUCGCUUGCGUCCUAGAGCCCCUGGCCUCCGCCCAGCACAUAUUCACCUCCUUCUUCAUCAGUUUGAGCUGCUCCUGGAACUUGGCAUAGUCCCGAUCCUGCUCCAGGCGGAUCCGCCUGGCCUCCUCCCGGCGGCGCACGGCAUGGUCUUGCUCCAUCUUCUCCACCUGCUGCUUCUGCUGGCGUUCCAGGUUCUCCAGCUCCGUGUCAAAGAACUUCUUCUUGGCCUGGAAGGAGUAGAAGGAGAAACUGAGCAAAGUCUCUUUAUACCUGGGAGGAAGAUGGGAUGCAAGAUGGGGAGAGCCCAGAGUUUAUCUUCAGACCGGGGCCUGAAUCCCAGCUCUACACCUCUCUGCUGUACGACCCGGGGCGAGUCAUUUAACCAAAGUCUCUGCUGCCUCUGUACAAAAGGGAGGCCAGACCAUCUGCCUUGCAGAGUUCUUGCAUGGUGCUCGGCAAAGGUUGGUCUCCCUCUAGAGGUCCUCCUCUGUGACUCAGAGGAGCUCUGUGACCUUCAUGAGAUCCUGUGUUUAUGAGUCUGUGGCCCAGGAGACCAAGAAACCAAAGGAACCGGGCUCUCUCCUGCCCCUAAAGAAAACAUGGAGGCAAGAAGCCCUCCAGGGACCCAUCUGUCCUCACACUCACGUUGAUUUCUUGUUCAAAACGCUUAUGCAUCUGCUCUAGCUGCAGCUCAUGCUUGCUGCUCAGCUGGGUCUGGUUCCGGUGUUCUUCUUUCUGGAGCAGCCGAAGCUCUCGGAGCUCCUGGCGCCUGAAGGGUUAAAGGAUGCGGACAUGUCAGUCAGAAAGUGGCCCGCCUCAGAGGGCACAUAAUUCAUAGCCAGAGACACUGAAGGCUGGAGUGUGGAACGGCAU